ACCACAUCUCAGCCUUUUGGCCAAGAUCAAGCGUAGUAUCUGUUCUUAUCAGUGUUCUAUCUGAUGCCUCCUCUAUCCCAGGACAGUAUAUUAAAUGGACUUGGAAUAGGAGCUUGCUCUGUCCACUCCACGCAUCGCCCUGGUAUUGCAGUACGUCCUGGAAUGGUGCACUACAA
ensembl:snRNA LOC120093443 U2 spliceosomal RNA